rnacentral:rRNA from 1 species
GACGAACGCUGGCGGCGUGCCUAAUACAUGCAAGUAGGACGCAGUUGCGAACGGGUGAGUAACGCGUAGGUAACUACCUAUUAGAGGGGGAUAACUAUUGGAAACGAUAGCUAAUACCGCAUACUAGUAGAUGGACCUGCGUUGUAUUAGCUAGUAGGUUGGGUAAUGGCCUACCUAGGCAACGAUACAUAGCCGACUUUGAGGGGGGAUCGGCCAACCUGGGGCUGGGGACCGGCCCAGACUCCUACGGGAGGCAGCAGUAGGGAAUCUUCGGCAAUGGGGGGAAACCCGAACAAGCAACGCCGCGUGAGUGAAGAAGGUUUUCGGAUCGGAAAGCUCUGUUGUUUAGGAAGCGGUACUUAACCAGAAAGGGACGGCUAACUACGUGCCAGCAGCCGCGGUAAUUC